rnacentral:rRNA from 1 species
GUAGGGAAUAUUGGGCAAUGGGGGAAACCCUGACCCAGCAACGCCGCGUGAGUGAAGAAGGCCUUCGGGUUGUAAAGCUCUGUCAUUAGGGAAGAAGAAGUGACGGUACCUAAUGAGGAAGCCCCGGCUAACUACGUGCCAGCAGCCGCGGUAAUACGUAGGGGGCGAGCGUUGUCCGGAAUUACUGGGCGUAAAGGGUGCGUAGGCGGCGUGUUAAGUUGGAUGUGAAAUACCCGGGCUUAACCUGGGGGGUGCAUUCGAUACUGGCAGGCUAGAGUGCAGGAGAGGGAAGCGGAAUUCCUAGUGUAGCGGUGAAAUGCGUAGAUAUUAGGAGGAACACCAGUGGCGAAGGCGGCUUUCUGGACUGUAACUGACGCUGAUGCACGAAAGCGUGGGGAGCAAACAGGAUUAGAAACCCUGGUAGUCC